GAGUUUGAUCGUGGCUCAGAAUCAACGCUGGCGGCAGGCCUAACACAUGCAAGUCGAGCGGCAGCGCGGGGCAACCUGGCGGCGAGCGGCGGACGGGUGAGUAACGCGUAGGAAUCUACCCAGUAGCAGGGGAUAGCCCGGGGAAACUCGGAUUAAUACCGCAUACGCCCUAAGGGGGAAAGCAGGGGAUCUUCGGACCUUGCACUAUUGGCAGAGCCUGCGUUGGAUUAGCUAGUUGGUAGGGUAAAGGCCUACCAAGGCGACGAUCCAUAACUGGUCUGAGAGGAUGAUCAGUCACACCGGAACUGAGACACGGUCCGGACUCCUACGGGAGGCAGCAGUGGGGAAUAUUGGACAAUGGGGGCAACCCUGAUCCAGCCAUGCCGCGUGUGUGAAGAAGGCCUUC
rnacentral:rRNA from 1 species